AUAGGUCUUCAAGUGGACAUUACACUUGACCCACACACACUGUGAACCGUGGCUUCGGCCCAAACUUUACCAGUAAUGAAUGUAUAACAUGAUAACAAAAA
rnacentral:misc_RNA from 1 species